GCUGUAGCACAAUGAUGGAUCACCUGCCUUUAAUGCAGAAGGUCCCAGGUUCAAUCCCUGGCAUCUCCA